GACGAACGCUGGCGGCGUGCCUAACACAUGCAAGUCGAGCGAUGAAACCCUUCGGGGUGGAUUAGCGGCGGACGGGUGAGUAACACGUGGGUAACCUGCCUCAUAGAGGGGGAUAGCCUCCCGAAAGGGAGAUUAAUACCGCAUAAUGUAUUUUGUUCGCAUGAAUAAAAUAUCAAAGGAGUAAUCCACUAUGAGAUGGACCCGCGGCGCAUUAGCUAGUUGGUGAGGUAAGGGCUCACCAAGGCGACGAUGCGUAGCCGACCUGAGAGGGUGAUCGGCCACAUUGGAACUGAGACACGGUCCAGACUCCUACGGGUGGCAG
rnacentral:rRNA from 1 species